rnacentral:piRNA from 1 species
UCCCUUUGCAGGUGACAGAAGUGAAU